rnacentral:rRNA from 1 species
GGCGGCAAGCCUAACACAUGCAAGUCGAACGGACAAUUAUUUAUAGCCUCUGGCUAUAGGAAAUUGUUAGUGGCAGACGGGUGAGUAAUGCGUAGGAAUCUACCUAGUAGUACGGAAUAGCCAUUAGAAAUGGUGGGUAAUACUGUAUAAUCCCCGAGGGGGAAAGAUUUAUCGCUAUUAGAUGAGCCUACGUUAGAUUAGCUAGUUGGUGAGGUAAUGGCUUACCAAGGCUAUGAUCUAUAGCUGGUCUGAGAGGACGAUCAGCCACACUGGAACUGAGAUACGGUCCAGACUCCUACGGGAGGCAGCAGUGGGGAAUAUUGGACAAUGGGCGAAAGCCUGAUCCAGCUAUGCCGCGUGAGUGAAGAAGGCCUUCGGGUUGUAAAACUCUUUCAAUAGGGAAGAUAAUGACGGUACCUAUAGAAGAAGUCCCGGCAAACUCUGUGCCAGCAGC